rnacentral:rRNA from 1 species
UACGAGGGGGGCAAGCGUUUGUUCGGAAUUAUUGGGCGUAAAGGGUGCGUAGGCGGUGCGGUAAGUCUGUUGUGAAAUCUCCGGGCUCAACUCGGAGUCUGCAUCAGAAACUGCCGUGCUGGAGUGUGGGAGAGGUGAGUGGAAUUCCCGGUGUAGCGGUGAAAUGCGUAGAGAUCGGGAGGAACACCUGCGGCGAAAAGCGGCUCACUGGACCAUAACUGACGCUGAUGCACGAAAGCUAGGGGAGCAAACAGG